UAGAUGGAAGCCCGCUGGAUAGGGUGUUUAGUUGUUAACUAGAAUUUUGCGGGAUCGAGGCCCGUCGGUCUAGG
rnacentral:tRNA from 1 species